AAAUUUAAAGCAAAAGAAAGCUAAUCAGCGAUUGUAUCAGAAUGUCACCAACUUCCAUGAAACCAUGUAGCUAUGAAUCUCACAAAGGGAGAUUAACAAUACAUGAAGGAAAUAUUUAAGUAAACUUCAACGGGUGACAGAUUAUUACAAGAACUUUUAGUGAAGUAAAGCUAAUUCUUUUCUUAAUAGGGACUGCUGCAACUACACUAAAAAUUAACAUGUAUGAACUUAAUUAAAACUAUAUUUUUCUACUUCUUUCGUCGCAUACUACAGUAACUCAAAUCAUUCAUAUAUUAUAACCAAUAAGAAUGGAUCACUGCAGUUCAAUAAUCUAAAAUAACGAAUGGAACUCUAACCCGUGAAGUCAAACAUUUAUUCACUCGUCUUGUCAACAGAAAUCACACAAGGUAAUGACACAGCUAUAGCACAUCAACACCUUCGUGUCCUUAUUCCAAGCCAAAUCAAAUUACAUUAAGAAAGAAAAAUCAGAAGAGUACCUAAAUGCAGAAACUGGAAUCAGUGAGGAAACUUGCUUGAAAAGGAAAAAUGGAUAGCAAUCCCAGCAAGAACGAACAACAAUUCAACAGCCCAAAACCUCGACAAUGACCCAGGAAUAAACUAGCCACAUUUGAAUAGACAAGAACCUCAAAAGAAAAUCAAAGAACCUUGAAAGACUCUCAGCUUUUUUAGAGGAUUUUUGUUCUCCAGAAACUCCUUCAAGUUCUCCAGUUUUUGUGUUGUGAUAGAGUAUGUAAAAGAUAAACUGAAUAUGUGUUAAGAGUGUUCCCCGAAGCUCCUUUAAAGUGAAAGAAAAGCCCUCUUUUUAUAGGAGGGGAGGGACAUGACUUCAUUAUGAAAAUCUGUUCAAAGGACAGAUUUUUCACCAAAAAAUCUAUCCAACACUAUUCAAAGGACAGCUCUUUGGUAAAAAUCUAUCCAAGAGAUAGUAUUUUACCAACUAGUAGCAGAUUUUUUUGGAGUUUUGUACUCCAAACAGUACACAAACAGUACAUUACAACCAAACAUGUACUCUACUCCAUCAUUCACCUUCUACUAACUUUCAACUCUAUCCCUUAAUAAUACUCUCCACUGAUUUAACAAACACAAAGCAGAAAGUUAAGAAAUAAACUUCAACAAUUAAUUCCACACCAAUGCAGAAAUUAAACUAGAAUCAGCAAUUAAACUAGGCUACUAAACACUAACUAAGCACUAAAAUCAGAAAUAACAUUAUACUAAAUAAUAACACUAAACAUAACCUAAAUUAACUUGAUCCUAAGUUAAUGAUAAGAAAUACAGAACAAAAAGGGACGGGAAUUGGGAUUUCAGUAAUAGUCCGGAGGCACUGAAAUUUCAAUUAACUUCCAGAGACAUCACUCAAUUAUAACACACCGACGACUAAACUAAGACCAAUGAGAAGAGGCGAAACUUAAUGAUUAACGCUAAAUAAAAUACGUAUUAGACAGUGAAGACAUUAAAACUAAUUAGCUUAAAUAAGGACAAAAUCAGAGACUAGAUUAAAUUACACGAUCACUAACAAACCUUAAACUAAACUAAAAUCCUAGGACAAUCACAAAGAAAACAGAAAUACAAUGGCGGGGAAAAUGAUUAUGAGUUUUACCAUUUUACAAUCAAGUGCCCGAGACUGUGGUGGGACGCCAACUCGACAACAAUUUGAACUUCGAGCAUGAUUUUCUAAUUGGUGAAUCGUGAGCGUAAUUUCCAGCGGGUCAGUGGUCAGUCACGAUAUCACCAAUGAGAAACUCGUGCUUCGAGUUAUGAGAUAGGCCAAGACAGAGGCGUGGUGGUCGUAGCCGGCAGUGGCGCAGUGGUCGCCGGAAUCCGGUCGGACUUCUGUCGGAGUUUUGGGGUGAAACCAACGUAGGAUGAUAAAUCACGUGGAGAUCUACACGCCUAUGUAAGUAUUUUAUGAAGGAGAGGUCUAAAACUCGACGAAUUUACAAAACAAAUUGGGCUAGGGUUUCGGAUUUUCAUUUAUUCGUGGAGUUUGGGAGGGAUUCAAGGGAUUUGGUUCGUGGAUUCAUGAAGAGGAAGAUAUUGGCGUUGGUUGGAGGGUGUUUGGCCACCGGAGGACGGCAACAGGCGGCGGCGCCGGUAGGCAGCGGUGGCAGCGGCAGUGGGAGAAUGAGAGAAGAGAGAAGGAGCUAGGGUUUAGGUUUUGGGGUUA
rnacentral:lncRNA from 1 species